CAAUAGCGUAUAUUAAAGUUGUUGCAGUUAAAAAGCUCGUAGUUGGAUUUCUGGUGGGGUCGAUCGGUCUGGCGCUUAGCGCGAGUACUUGCAUCGUCUCCGGCCAUCCUUGGGGAGAGUCUGUCUGGCAUUAGGUUGUCGGGCAGAGGAUCCUCAUCGUUUACUGUGAAAAAAUUAGAGUGUUCAAAGCAGGCUUAUGCCGUUGAAUAUAUUAGCAUGGAAUAAUAAGAUAGGACUUUGGUACUAUUUUGUUGGUUUGCGCACCAAAGUAAUGAUUAAUAGGGACAGUUGGGGGUAUUCGUAUUCCGUUGUCAGAGGUGAAAUUCUUGGAUUUACGGAAGACGAACUACUGCGAAAGCAUUUACCAAGGAUGUUUUCAUUAA
rnacentral:rRNA from 1 species